GCCAGAUUGGCUUCAACUUAUGAAUUUGGAAUGGCUCUGAAAUUUGAAUGGAAUAAUGGUGGUGGAAGUGCUUUAAGAACUCUGAAGCAGUAUAAAGACCAGUGGAUAAUUUCGAACAUUUGUGGACAUAGAUACUUCUCAUCCAUAUAGCUCUCUCAGAAUAUUUGUGGCCAUCAUCGUCAUCACCAUCAUCACCUCAAAAACUGU